rnacentral:rRNA from 1 species
CAAUAGCGUAUAUUAAAGUUGUUGCGGUUAAAAAGCUCGUAGUUGGAUUUCUGCUGAGGACGACCGGUCCGCCCUCUGGGUGUGCAUCUGGCUCGGCCUGGGCAUCUUCUUGGAGAACGUAUCUGCACUUGACUGUGUGGUGCGGUAUCCAGGACUUUACUUGAGGAAAUUAGAGUGUUUCAAGCAGGCAUACGCCUUGAAUACAUUAGCAUGGAAUAAUAAGAUAGGACCUCGGUUCUAUUUUGUUGGUUUCUAGAGCUGAGGUAAUGAUUAAUAGGAUAGUUGGGGGCAUUCGUAUUUAACUGUCAGAGGUGAAAUUCUUGGAUUAUCGGAAGAUGAACUUCU